rnacentral:rRNA from 1 species
CAGUCGCCGCGGGAAUACGGAGGGGGCUAGCGUUGUUCGGAAUUACUGGGCGUAAAGCGCACGUAGGCGGCUUGGUAAGUUAGAGGUGAAAGCCUGGAGCUCAACUCCAGAAUUGCCUUUAGGACUGCCGAGCUAGCAGGUGAGAGAGGUAAGUGGAAUUCCGAGUGUAGAGGUGAAAUUCGUAGAUAUUCGGAAGAACACCAGUGGCGAAGGCGGCUUACUGGCUCAUACUGGACGCUGAGGUGCGAAAGCGUGGGGAGCAAACAGGAUUAGAUACCCCAGUAGUCCCUGUCUCUUAUAC